GCCUGGGUGGCUGAGUCGGUUAAGCACCCGACUUCCGCUCAGUUCAUGAUCUCGCGAUUCAUGAGUUCGAGCCCCGCCUCAGGCU
rnacentral:tRNA from 1 species